rnacentral:misc_RNA from 1 species
GACAUGAAGAUCAAGAGCACUAAUAAUAGUUAAUACAUGUACACCAAAAACUUCGAACUGUAGACAUACUUAAUAAUUAUUUCUUCACUUUUGACUCUCUUCUACAGAUUUCCCCCUUCAUUUUUUUCAAUUAGAACAUUGAUUUUAGUUAAUUUAAGUUUAAUACAUACUCCCUCUUUUAUUAGGUUCUUUUUACACAUUUUACAAGUACAUUAAAUUAAGUUAAUUAGCUCUCAACUAGCUUCCCAUCCAAAGCCGAAGGUGAACUUAACAUAGUUAAUAGAAAUUUUAUUUUUUUUUAUCUGUUUUCUGCAGGCUAGUAAGCUGCAACCAUUGAUGCUCCAGCUGCUACUGUUUCUCUUUCUUCGUCUUCGUCUUCGUCUUGGUCUCCUUCGGCUUCCCACAUGAAGUGUGCAUAUGAUCCCAACACAGUGCAGUCAUUAGGAGAAGCGUGAACAGCUUGAUCAAAGUAAGAUUUGGCUCUGUUUUCGUCUCGCUGCGUCUCCCAAACUAAUUUGCCAUACAGAGAAAGCACUUCUCCGUCACCAGGACUUGCAAGUAUAGCUCUUCCGUAGCAUUCUUCAGCCUUCACAAAGUCUCUCUCCACCUCAUGCAAAUACUUGCCGUAGUUUCUAAGAAGAAGAGGAUUCAUAGGAUCUGAAUUCAGCAUUUCCUUAUAAUAGGCUCCAAUUUUCCUUGGAUCUGACUUUCCGCCGGUUAAACUAUCUGCAUCGAUCUCAUCUCUACCGUCACCAUUGCCGCCAAACUUUUUGUUUUUGGUGGAACCGAUUCCACCGCCGGAAAAUCCAAGCUCAUCGACUGGAAUACUGUUCCUAUGCCAGUCUCCAGCGUAACUCCGUCGAUCUUCCGUCAAACUCAGUGAUCCAAUACUUCGCAAAACCUCCAACUCAUUCUGUUCAGAACCGCAAUCCUCCUCCGGUAUUAUUGACGAUAAUGACCUCGAUCCAAUCUUACUCAACUUUCUAGUUACACUCGAACCUUCAAAUCCCGACCGGAUCACGUCGGAGUCAGAUGAAACCCGGCGAAUACCGCGACGAUUGACUUCCGAAUACAGAGAGAUCAUAGGAGAAGAACAUCCUUUCUUCUUCUCUCCAUUAAACACUUUACCGAUGGAUUCACGAGUGGAAACAGAGACUGCUCUCUGAGAACCGGGAACAACCGCCGGAAUUGAGCCGGAACCGGUUCGGAAAAGGACCGUUUUCA